rnacentral:lncRNA from 1 species
GAGAGAGAAGGGAGGCGCCGGGCUGGGCCCAAUUACGAUGAUGCGGGCUAUUUUGAAAUAUUGGGGGCUAGUUAUUAGCGAUAUGCCGUGGGUUGACAUGUUUUUAGGAAAAAAAUUUUUGGAAGAGCUUCCAAUACAUAGUUUUGGGGAAGAACUUUUUGGGAAACUCUUGGAGUUGCUCCAAUUAAGAUCUAUUACUAAUGUGAUGUAUCUUUAAGAUCUCUCAAUAUAUUGUAAUUUUUGGACUGACCUGAAGGACAUGAUACCCGUUAUUGUUUUAUUAGAAAUACUACUCCUUCAAUCUCAUUGUGUUUCAGUAGAUCACAUUUUCUACUCAACAAUUGACUGAGAACGCUAGAUGUCCCUCGGCCACCGUCGUUUUAGGGUUUCAUGGGCGGAUUAAGGUUCCUAUGGCAAGGCACAUGCCACGGCCCCUUCACCGGGGGAGGUAGGAAGGAUGGUGGGUAGUGUUACUAUGUUAGCACGUAGAAUGGAGUGGUCAGCAUGGCGGUGAAUGUCGAUCGAAACAACAGGGAAGGCAAUAGGAGGACAAGGCGAGAGUUUAUCGAUAAGUAAAGUCGGAUGAAAUAACACAUCGUGCAAUUGUAUAUGGAAUAGAUAUGCAAUCUUGAAUCUUUGGCCAUAGGCUAUUUUUAGCAAAUAAUUGCAAUACAACAUAUUGCAUUCUAAAUAAAAAGAAUAACUUUUCAUCAGUAAAUCUAGUUCAAUGGCGAAAUACUGGAAAACGGCACAUGAUCUUAUUAAUUCUUAGUUACGCAAGAUUACACUUUCAUAUCAAUAAAAUUAACAUAAUAGUGGCACAAAAGUUAUUACUCCUCUUAUGUUCCCACAUAC